rnacentral:piRNA from 1 species
GUGUGGACUGACCAAACAGCAGCUGGACAG